rnacentral:sRNA from 1 species
GUAUAUCGUAGAUUGGGAAAGAGAAAGAAACAGCAAAAAGAAAAGUAAGAUAAUUGAUUAGUCUGAGAAAGAGGUUCGAUUGUUUGUAUCAUUGAAUUAUUAUUUAACGUGGUUUAAAGGAAAGAGUUUAUUCAAAACUCCAAAAAAUAAAUAAAAAAAUAAAAAUAAAAACCACUCCAAUACUAUAUAAGUGUGUUAAAACAGGAGAUUUAGUAGAUCCCAAACGACCGGUGGAUAUUAACAACAAAGGGGCUUAGACAGAUAGAUAGAUACGCGGUAGAUAGAUAAGUAGACAUAUAAAAAAUAUAUAUAUGUAUGUAUGUAUAUUGUUGUUGGCCUGGUCAGUGGAGCGGGAAGAUGUUAGAUUCCAGCAAUGUAAACCAACCAGGAUAUGAUCUGGAUGAGAACGAGCGAUACAAAAUUGCGGUUUGUCUCGCGCAGCGUUAUGAGGCGUGUUGACAGCUAUGAAGCUGGGAGGUGAGGGGAAGCGGGGAAGAAGCAAUGAGAGGGGGCUAUAGUUAGAUAUAUCUAUCCCUGAUGUGUGACUCCCAAAAUCGAUGAUAGACAAAGUACGGAAAAAGGAGAAACGGUGAGGUACUGCUGAUAUAAGUAGCGUGAAAACAGAGUAUAUGGUGCUGAAUCUCAUAGAUAACGCCGGAUAAUGGGGGGUUGG